AUUUCUUUCCUCCUCGUGCUCGUGCACAAAUUGCCUCCUCCUAUUCUCAGAUGUAUUUGUCCACGCCCUUUCCCAGUGCCUUUGUGGUCACCUUUCCAACAUCUCCCAAUUAGUUAAUACUUCUUGAAAUGAGUUUGCAAAGCAGUGGUUGCAGAGCGCAUUAAUAAUUUAUCUCCAGCAGAGCCACCGUAGCUUGGUUCUAAGCGCUCAGCGGAAAAGGCGAGGCACGGGCCCGUGUGGCGCGUGCGCGGAGGUAGGAAGUCCUUGGAGCCCAGCCGUGGCGCGGUUGGACAUGGUGAGCUCCCACAGCACGUGUCUGGGUGCGGGAGGCACUCAGUGUCUCAGUUUACUGCAGUCACUAAGCUAAAGGAUUUUUAGGGAUGUUUGGGCCAGGUUUCUGGCAUGUUGGGCAUGGAGUUGUCGUCUUGAUUGAACACUGAAGGGCAGCAAGUAGGAAAAUCACGCAUGGUCAGACCCAAGGAGUCACAUCUGGACUCGUUGAAGGGAUCUGCACAUCGUCCAGCUAUCCGUCCUUUGAGAUGGAUGCAUUAACUGGUGAGGAAGCUAAAGUGAUAAGCAACUUGCCUAAACUUGCUCAGAAAAAGAGUCAGCAAAGGAGAAUUGACCAUCAAUGCCAGGGGUGACUCCAGUUCCCUGUUCCGCCACCCCCAUCGGGAGGGAUACCUUCCAAGUAAUCUGGAACAUGCUGUUUCCACCGGACACAUAUCAAAGCCCCUGGCAUGUAUAAACACUCUGGUGAAGUCAUUCCACAACCAGGGGUGGCUAUCCCAUCUCCUGGUCUACUCUUCAAAGCAAUAGCUGAUGCUAAAACACUAAUGUAGUGAAAGCCUUUGGAUGAUCCCUGGGGCGAAUCUAGGCCUCACUUUGGUUUUUGGGAGGUCAGGAGAAGUGCUGAAGGAAAUGAGUCCUGUCUCCUUUGGCAUUCCUUGGGGACUGAUUUUGAAGAAAGUAGUUGAAAGCUUUUAAUACAAGCACUGCAGAUAAAUGAUAGGGGUUUCUCUACUUGAUGCUAGUUGGAGGGGUCAGUUUGGCAUUUGACUUGGAAAUUGGAAAGGAUAGCAUUAAUCCUGAGUGAGGCUGGAGAGAAGGUCUCUAAGUCACAAUGUUUUCCUAAUGUCUUUGAAAGGCUGUUCCUUUUCUGGAAGGUCUGGUUUUCAGAGAGAUUAAUGGAAUGACACAGCUAUCUCAUCAUGAUAUUCCUGAAAGGACAAAUGGAGAGACUGAGGGGUUCAUAGGAAAAAGUCUUAGUCUACUGGGGGCCCUCGCAAGGGGCACCAAUUACACCCCAUUGAGAGCUCACAAUUCCAACCCCAUGGGCCGACUCUUCCUAGCAGGGCCCAGAGAGUUACCAUUAAGUGAUACCAAGUUGGAGGACAGCAGGUAGCUGAGCCACUGGCUCACUUUCUGAUAAAUGCCUUUGGCUUCAGUUGCCCGGCUUGCUCUCAGUCAUGGGAGUCCUCUUGAGAGCAGGUGUGGGGAGGUCACCCCCUCCCUUCUGGGUGUCCUUAGUCUAAAUAUCUCAGACAGGAUCGCUAAUCUCUCAUGGGGGGUUAAAUCACCUCUGCUCCCUGGAUUUUACCAUUUUCCUUCCCAGAAAGCCUGCUUUUAAUGUCUCUAUUCCCAGAACCAUAGAGGGAGAAAGGUCAGAAAAAUGCCACUGUGAAAUCCUGGCCCCCACAUCCUGCUGUGUCGCUUGGCCACUAGCCUUUGCUCCUGCUUUCCCAGCUUAGAGCCACCAUGCUUUUGUGCUGACAGGCCACGAUGGGUUCUCUCUGAGAUGGGUUCUUUUGCCGUUGCCCUGGUAACAGAAUUAUUAAACUGAGUUCCAGCCUCGGGAGUAUUUGCUCCUGGUGAGGUAAUGUCUGUCGCAUCCAGCCUUUCUUUUUAUUCCCACCUUACCCCCCUCCCUUUCAUGCCCUCUGUGCCUUGCACCUAGACUGCGGUACUCGCCUCUCCUGGCCUCAGUGCCUCCUGCCUACGCUUCCCCACAGGGCUGUUCUGAGCUUGGCAACACCCCUUCCCAGAUUCCCAGAUUCCUCCUUGGCCAAAUUCCCCAUCAACCUGGCAUUUGAAACUCUCUGUGACUGCCCCAAACCACUGUUUCUACAACCCACCACGCUCCCAGGGCUUUAGCAGAACAGGCCAAGGCUGCAGGGUAACAACGGGAUAGAUUCAAGAGAAAUAUGAAGGUAGGCUCCAGGGGGUUUAGUUAGUAACUAUUUGGAAUGCAGAAUAGUGUAAUAUUUAAAUACAUGGGCUUUAGAACCACAGUCUUUAAUACAUUUCAACUCUGUUACUAAAUAGCUGUAUGACCCUGGGCAAGUUUCUUAACCUAAGUCUUGAUUUCCUCAAAUGCAAAGUGGAGGUGAUGAUAGUAUCUUCCUUAUAAAGUUUUUCUGCCCAAUUAAAGAUCAUCCACGAAAGUACUUGGCUUAGCAUAUGGAACAUAGAAAUGCAUCAAAAAUUUUAGCUGUGGUGAUGAUGAUGAUAGCAGAGGAAGGGAAAAGAAGGGUGGUGGUUCAAGGAAUGAAACUGAGAAUGGCUCCUGAUUUGGGGCAAUGGGUGGAAACUAUGCAGAUAGAGAAUACAGGCACAGAAGGAACAGGUUUGAGAGAACAGAAAAUGUUUUCAUUUGGGGUCUUGUUGAGUUUGACAUGUCGUUGCUCAUUUUUACUGAUUCUCACUGAGUGCCAGUUACCACGUUAAGCACUUUACAUGUUAUCCCUUAUUUAAUUCUUACAACAACCCUCUGAGGCAAGGAUUAUUAACUUAUGGCAAGGUUAAGUAAGUAACUCACAGUUGUUAAGAGGCAGAACUGGGAUUUGAACCCAGGGCUUUGUGUCUCCUGAAGCCGUGCACUUUACCACCAAACACACAGCCUCCUAAAUAUCUUUAUUUAUAGUUGUUGAGUCAACUUUAUUUAUAGUUGUUGAGUCAAUCCUUUCUUAUGUUUCCAGUGCUAAGGUGGUCUUUGGGGGAUCAUAAUAGUCUGCUUGGCUUUCUGCCCCCACACCUUAGGCCCAACAUGUAAAUUUGGCCCUUAGACUCAGGGACAUUUUUGUUUUUUUAUGAGACAUGCCCAGAUAUGCUCAGAGUCAGUGACUCAGUUCUCACCUUUCACAUUGGCCUGUCUCCUCACUCCAAAUCCCCCCUCAAUGGAAUCCUUGCUUUAGAAGUGAAUUAGCAUCUCUAAGCCUCAGUUUCCUCCUCUGAACAAUUUAUGCAGUUACAGAAUUGCAGUAAGUGUCAGAUGAGAUGGAGAUGCUCAUGGAGGAGAGGGACCAUUUCUGAUUCCUCUCAGCAUUCCCAGUGCCUGGGUCAGGGCUUGGCAAAUGCCAGGUGUUCUCUAAUUAUUGAAUUAAUCAGUGACCAAUGGAAUGAAUAUGCUGAUGUAUGUUAUGCAGGGUUUGCUCCUUUGUUUGAUUCUAUUGACUGUUUACUUUUCCAGUUGCCCUGCUGUCCUGAGUGAUUACCCCAAUUUAUUGUAUUUUGGGGAUGAUUUUCUUUAAACCUUUGGAAUUGUCUGAACCAUGAUGGUAGAACUGGGUUAUAACACUGGUGUUGCAUGGUAGAUGCAUGUGUGUGUAUGUGGUGGGGGAAUGAGGAGAUGGUUGGAGGUAGCAAGGUUGGUGGGAAGGGAAAAGGGGGUAGGCCUGACCACAUUUCCUCCACAGUGUUCUUUAAGAUGGGGAAAGAUGCUCUACAAACCCAAGGGACAUGAAUUUACCUUUGUUUAAUGGAACCCGGGGUGUACAGUGACUUGGUUUCUAACAGGAAUUUAAAAAAUAAUGCUUCAACAUGGUGGAUUUCUAAACAUUUUCCCCCCUCAUUUCAGGUACAAAUACUUCAAUACCCUGGAUAUGGAUUUCAGAGCUAUUUAAUUAAGCUCCAAACCCAUAAAAAUGCACAUUUAAUACUCAGAGUAAACCCUUGACUUGUUCCUUCUGAAGAUAAACAGGAGGAUUUUUUCACAUACCUCACAUCUGUAACAUGAAGUGCAGUUUAGAAUUUAUUGCUGCCUCUUUGGUUAACUGGUAGAAAGCUCAAAGUUAGAGUCUACAAAAGAAUCACUUCUUUCACUGUACCUAUGACAUCCUAUAAUGCUCUAAAUCAUCAGUGAUGGGAGAUCAUGUAACUUGGUGCUUAAAACAUGGACUUUGGAGUCAGAUGGACCUGACUUAGCUGGAUUCCCAGAAACUUAUUAUCUGUAAAAUGGAGAUAAUUAUACUUUAUGUUUAAGGUUGCUUUGAAGAGUAAGUGAGAUAUUCAGGCAACAUAAUGAAUGUGGCACCUUGCAUGUAGUAAAUGUCCAAUCAAAGGUAGCAGCUAUUAUUUUUGUUUGAUUUUGUAAUGGUUAUGAAUUAUUAAUAAAAUAUAUAGUAGCAAUCUAAAAUAACACAAUAAUGUAUGUUCUCCCCCAAAAUAGUCAUCGCAGUAAUAAUUACUAAUUUGCUGGUGAGUUAGAAUAUGGUUUGCUAUUAACCUCUGUUUGAGUACUGUCAGAGCUUAGGGCCAGUCCAAGACAAAUGCCAAAAGAACUACUUAGCAAAGGCCAGCCUUCAGAGAGAAGCUGUUCUGGUGUCUUUAGUCCUGAGCAUAGCAAGACCAACAGAUGCCAUUCCUGGACCAAACAUUCUGAGUGUGACACUGAUGAGGCUGGGAUGUACCUGCAUGGACACUGACCUCCAGCACCACCACACAAAGCACACGAGGCAGGAGAUCUCUGUGCACACAGCACGGGAUUCUAUGAGACUGUGGCACUGGAUAUAAAAGUCCUGACAAUGAACUUCCUUGGGAGCAUUUCACAAAGGCUAUACCUGAAGCUGCCUCUUGAUUCUCUCCUGAUCAGACCCUUUACUGCAAAAGCUUUUCACCCAUUUUAACUAUGAAAGCAGAGGGUGUGUAUGAAAU